CGAUGAUGCAUAGCCGAGUUGAGAGACUGAUCGGCCACAUUGGGACUGAGACACGGCCCAAACUCCUACGGGAGGCAGCAGUAGGGAAUCUUCCACAAUGGACGCAAGUCUGAUGGAGCAACGCCGCGUGAGUGAAGAAGGUUUUCGGAGUUCGUAAAAGCUCUGUUGUUGGUGAAGAAGGAUAGAGGUAGGUAACUGGCCUUUAUUUGACGGUAAUCAACCAGAAAGUCACGGCUAACUACGUGCCAGCAGCCGCGGUAAU
rnacentral:rRNA from 1 species